rnacentral:rRNA from 1 species
UACGGAGGAUCCGAGCGUUAUCCGGAUUUAUUGGGUUUAAAGGGUGCGUAGGCGGCCUAUUAAGUCAGGGGUGAAAGACGGUAGCUUAACCAUCGCAGUGCCUUUGAUACUGAUGGGCUUGAAUGUACUUGAGGUAGGCGGAAUGUGACAAGUAGCGGUGAAAUGCAUAGAUAUGUCACAGAACACCAAUUGCGAAGGCAGCUUACUAAAGUAUGAUUGACGCUGAGGCACGAAAGCGUGGGGAUCAAACAGG